CCUGGGAGCUGCUGUUUAGGAAAGGUGUUUUGAAUUCGCCACAAAAGGACUGCAGUGUUUUUCCCAAAAUAGAAAUCCCAGGUGUCCACAGGAUGCAGCCACAGUGGUCAAUGGAAAACCAUAGGACUACUAUAAUUAUGGAGUGUUAAAAGGCCUUCGGAGGCUCAGGAUCUCUAAGAAUACUGGAUGUAUUUGAAAGUCAAUGUCCUUCAAUUGGGAGAAGAGACAACAUGACAACUUGUGGAUCAAUGUGCUUCAGCUUCCUGCCCAGAACCUCACAAUCCCACAUGAAAUCCUGAAAGCUGUGCCUUGCCAUGCCACUAGUUCCCGCCUGGACCAAAAGAAAGGGCAGGGAGUCCCCUACCACCACCAUAUGUUGGAGGGCUGGCAGAGGCCAUUCUAUUGCUGAAUCUUCCAGGGUCACCUGCAAAUUCCCUGAGGACCAACAUUGUUGCCCUUGUUCCUGUUCCUUGUCAUCACUGACAACAUAUCAAAGCUAUUGCAGGAGCAACUUGAAAAACUGCAAGUUGCUUCUGGUGUAGGAGAAAUGGCAGUCUGCAAGGAUGUUGCCCAGGGGACACCCAGAUAUUUUGAUGUUUUAUUAUCCUUGUGGGAGGCUUCUCUCAUGUCAUGGAGAGCUGGAGCUGCUUUCCCCAGAUGUAACCCAUGCCUUUUGGAAGAAGCAUUCAUGUGUUCUCUAAAAAGAAAUUUAAAAAUUACAUAUGCAAUGCUUACCUGAACCUGUUGUUUUAUUUCACCUGUGCAUUGUUAGUUUUGAAUAAAAGAUUUGCCGUGACAUUUUGAUUUAUUCUUUUUAUGAUGCAGGAACCUAUUCUUAUUCCUUCCAUGUUAUUUUUACCUCUGAGACCAAAUUCUCUGUUGCAGCAGUAAUGUCCUGAAAUAUAUCUGCUUCAUGAAGUGAGGUACAUC
rnacentral:lncRNA from 11 species